AUUUAUUUACUUCAAGAGUUAAGAGUGGCGGUUUGGGGAUAGCACGAGGAGAUAUCAGCUGUGAUGGCUUGGAGAAACAGUGUAAACCGGCAGUGUAAACAAGAGCAGGGCAUGUAUGAGUAGUUGAGAACGGAGAAUAGGAGUAUGACUAGACAGAAGAUAGUAGGGAUGACAAGUUUUUUUUGGGGCACACUCUAAGUUGGUCCGGUGUUUGGAAUGAGACUGGGGCCUAAUAAAAAGGAGCAUCUAUACAGGAGCCCAAAUGGGCUGUACCUUGUAGCAUUCUGAGGACGGGUCUGACUUCUGAGAAGGGAAAGUGGUAAAAGUAUUGUCCAGUUCUUUUUAAGUUGGUGGCUGAGCUUGGUGAGGUGUGUUUUUGAAAGACCUUUAGUCCGUUCUACUUUUCUUGAAGACAGACGACUAUAAGGGAUAUAAAGGUUUCACUGAAUACUAAGAGCCUGAAAAACUGCUUGGCUGAUUUGACUAAUAAAGGUUGGUCUGUUAUCAGACUGUAUAGAGGUGGGAAGGCUAAACUGAGGGAUUAUGUCUGACAGAAGGGAAGAAAUGACUGCAGUGGCCUUCUCAGACCCUGUAGGAAAGGCCUCUACCUAUCUAGUGAAAGUGUCUACUUAGACUAAGAGGUAUUUUAGUUUUUGUGACUCAGGGCAUGUUGAGUAAAGCUAAUUUGCCAGUUCCGGGGGCGGGGGCAGGGGGCAAAUCCUCAAGUUUGAUGUGUAGGGAAGGGAGGGGUCCUGAAUAAUCCUUGAGGAGUAGUAGAAUAGCAGAUAGAAUAGCAGAUGGAACACUGAGAAAUUAUUUCCUUGAGGAUAGAUUUCUACAAUGGAAAGGAAAUGAGAGGUUCUAAGAGGCGGGCUAGUGGCUUGUACUAUAGCAUAGCCUGCCUUUGCUGGUGUGUGGCGAUUAGGCCUGGUGGAACUGCCAUCAAUAAAUCAAGCGUGAUCAGGGUGAGGAACAGGAAAGAAGGAAAUAUGGGGAAAUGUGGUGAAUGUCAGGUGGAUCAGAGACAUACAGUCAUGGGGGUCAGGUGUGGUAUCAGGAAUAAUGUGGGAGGCCAGAUUGAAGUCUGGGCCAGGAACAAUGGUAAUUGUGGGACUUAACAAAGAGUGAGUACAGCUGAAGGAGCCGGGGAGCAGAAAGUAUAUGCAUCAGGUAUGAGGAAGAAAAUAGAUUUUGGAAGUUAUGAGAAAUGUAGAGAGUAAGUUGAGCAUAGUUUAUGAUUUUUAGGGCCUCUAAAAGUAUUAGGGUGGCAGCAGCCGCUGCACGGAGACAUGAGGGCUAGGCUAAAACAGUAAGGUCAAGUUGUUUGGACAGAAAGGCUACAGGGUGCGGUCCUGGCUCUUGUGUAAGAAUUCUGACCACACUAACCAUGCCUAGGAAGGAAAGGAGUUGUUGUUUUGUAAGGGAUUGAGGUUGGGGAGAUUAAUUGGACACGAUCAGCAGGGAGAGCACCUGUGUUUUUAUGAGAAUUAUGCUGAGAUAGGUAACAGAUGAGGGUGAAAUUUGGGCUUGACUGAAGUAAUGGGGGCUGUCUGUGAAGCCUUGCGGCAGUACAGCCCAGGUAAUUUGCUGAGCCUAAUGGGUGUUAGGGUCAGUCCAGCUGAAAGCGAAGAGAGGCUGGGAUGAUGGGUGCAAAGGAAUAGUAAAGAAAACAUGUUUGAGAUCCAGAACAGAAUAAUGGAUUGUGGAGGGAGGUAUUGAGGAUAGGAGAGUAUAUGGGUUUGGCACCAUAGGGUGGAUAGGCAAAACAAUUUGGUUGAUAAGGCAUAGAUCCCGAACUAACUUGGAAGGCUUGUCUGGUUUUAGGACAGGUAUAAUGGGGGAAUUGUAAGGAGAGUUUAUAGGCUUUAAAAGGCCAUGCUGUAGCACGCAAGUGAUAACAGGCUUUAAUCCUUUCAAAGCAUGGUGUGGGAUGAGAUAUUGGCAUUGAGCGGGGUAAGGGUGAUUAGGUUUUAAUGAGAUAGUAAGGGGUGCAUGAUCAGUUACCAAGGAGGGAGUAGAGGUAUCUUAUUCCUGUGGGUUAAGGUGGGGGAAUACAAGAGGAGGACGCAAAGGAGGCUUUGGAUUGGGAAGAAGGGCAGCAAUGAGAUGUAGCUGUAAUCCAGGACUAGUCAGGGAAGCAGAUAAUUUAGUUAAAGUGUCUCGGCCUAAUAAGGGAACUGAGCAGGUGGGGAUAACUAAAAGAGUGCUUAGAAGAGUAUUGUCUCAGUUGGCACCAGAGUUGGGGAGUUUUAAGAGGUUUAGAAGCCUGGCCGUCAAUACCUACAACAGUUACGGAGGCAAGGGAAACAGGCCCUUGAAAAGAAGGUAAUGUGGAGUGGGUAGGCUCCAUAUUGAUUAAGGGGACGGACUUACCUUCCACUGUGAGAGUUACUCGAAGCUCAGCGUCUGUGAUGAUCUAUGGGGCUUUCGAGGUGAUCGGGCAGCGUCAGUCUUCAGCUGCUAAGCCGAGAAGGAGUCAGAGAGCCUUGGGCCAGAAUUCCAGGGGCUCUGGGAGUGCCUGCCAGGCUGGAGGGCAAUGGCGUGGUUUUGCUCACUGCAACCUCCGCCUUCCAGGUUCAAGGAUUCUUCUGCAUCAGCCUUGCAAUUAGCUAGGAAUACAGCAUCCGUGUACCUUCUUCCUCUUGGUCACUAGACAAGAGCCUGGAACUCACUGAACUGUGGGAGUGAAAGAGCUGUAACUCUCCUGCUCUCUGAUCUAUGGACAGGGGGACUAAAAGAGCUAUAACACUCCUGCCUUGCAAACUACAGUAGUAAAAAAGAAACACAAAAGUACCAUCAAAAGUUUCUGGUGAAAAUUGAAUUACCAAAAACAUUGAAAGUGCUUAAAACAGUACCUGCAACAUAGUAAGAGCUCAACAAACGUUAUUCAUUUAUGUUCAUAAUUUGGAUUGAUAAAUUACCCUACUGAAAAAUAAAUACUUUCAGAUUGAAUUUAAAAGCAAUAAUAAAAUCUCUUGAUGCUUAAAAGAGAUGAACAAGACAGCAAAUAAACUUCAAUGCUGAAAAUAAGAACAAUAUACAAAUUUUUAUCAAGGAAAUCUCAGGGACCCUGUAAACAGUCGUUCUGUUCAUAUUUGUUGUUGUUUCUUUAGAGGAGGGCAUCUAGGCAAUAAGAAAACUGGAAUGUGAAAUCUAUCUACUUUUCUGUUUCCAAAGCUCAGAAUUAUGUUAAUUUUACUGAACCAACUAACAGGAGGGGUGACUUUUUGUCAUUUAUAGAAAAGCAUUAUAGAUAAUAUUCAGGGGAUUCACUAAAAUAACAAGACACUCUGUGCAAUUGCCUAUUGGUAUUUGAGUUCCAGUGUAAAACCUAAAAUAAUUUGUUUAAAGUUAAAACAGUAUAACAACAUGACUUUAAAAGUUAUUACUUCACAUUCCAAGAUCAGAGAUCCUACCAUCUCUGGGGCCUGCCAAAAGUCGAUGAUACAGUCAUUUCAGCAGAAUCAUUCACUUGAUUACAUAAAGGGAAGAUUGGGAAAGAAAAGAUGGUGACUUUUGAGGAGAGUGCAGAGUGCCUAAAGGAAGAUCAUUGUGCUUCUCUAUCUGCUGUGAUAAAGGGGAGAGAGGGACACUUCUCUCUAGCAAAAGAUCUGCUUCUUCUGGACUUUGGACACAAGCUUAGGAAAGAAUUGGCAGAGCUGAUAGAGAGUGUCAUUAGCAGAAGCAUGCAUUUCCACCAUGUGGUUUGAAAAGUACCUAUGAAAUUUGCUGGGUUUGAUGGACGCCACUGAGGGGAACCUGACUUGAAGCAUCUUACUACUGCCCCUCCUGGAACCACUCUGUGCAUAGGAAUACUCAACUGAUGACAAUGAGUGAUUUAUGACACAACUGAAAAGAGAAGGAAGAAGCCGAGCCUAUGCUGGGAAUUCUAUGCCCAGAGUCUGCAUAGUGUACAGCUUUAUAAAACCCCUAAAUGUGUCUGACACAGAGUUUUCAUUUGGACUUGCAGCCUUAGGAAGGAGCAACAGCCUGCAGAAAUUCUUGUGAUAUUUUCAACGUACUUUAAGUGAGACACUGAAAAUUUGCUACUCUCCCAAUAAUAUUACGAAUUAUGAAGUCAUGACUCAUCUUUUCCAUUAUAUAGCUUUAUGAAAUUCACUUAAAGAUGAUUAUUUAAAAGCGUGUUUAGUAGGUAAGAAUAUACUAAGAAGAUAUUAUUAAAUGGUUUAAUUAUAUCAUGAAUCCUUUUAUAGUUUAGGAAUGUUAUUUUUAAUUAGCAAUUCUAGACAUGACUGGAUGGUGAGAACCAAGAUCAUAAUGCCAGCUGUGUUUGGCUAGCAUUAGAUGUGAUCUUCUGUUGAUCUUGGUUUGAGCCUUAAUCUUAUCCUCCUUUGUUGCUAUUGGAUGGUAAAAGCACCAUAAUGUUGAUCGUGCCAAAAAGGAAUAUUUAAACACUAACACUGCUCAAAGGUCUGAGAACUUAAGCUAACAAAAUUAUGGUUCUUUUUUUCCUCUCUUUCUGGCAUUUGGUUAAAUAGCUUCUAAUUACCCAAUUUGGGAGAAGUUCUGAAACCAUGUCCCAAAGAGUUAAAGCAACCAGUGACUAACAGAAAUUCUUGAGUUUGCAGAAUGGUGGAUAAGAAAGGAAACAACUUGCUAAAACACUGAAACUCCCUCCACUUAUGAGAUAAAAGAACUGGCUGAAAUCAGUUUGGUCAACUGGAGUUUGUGCGGAAGUAGCUUGCUGACAUCAUAGCCUGAAUUUUCAUUGCAUGUCUCAUACCAACUCCCUCCAGAAUCUGCACAUGCAAAUGAGUUAGCAUAAAAAAGGUAACUGUGCAUGCCCAAGGACUUUCCAGACCUCUCCUUUCCUUCCACCAAUAAAACCUGAUAAUCUCAGAAUCCAACCCCUGAAUCUUUUCUAAUGAAAAUAUAGUCUUGAAGCCAGCACAGGGAGACAGCUUGGAGCUUGACUCCUGUCUCCUCGGGAGUGGACUUUCAAUAUAAAGCUUUUCUGUCCUCAAAAACCUGGUAUAGUAUUGGCUUCUAGCGUAUUCAGCAGCAAGCCCCUUUUGCUUGAUAAAGUUCCAGGAUCCUUCCUGCCAGAGGUUUUGCAUGUCCCUCUUUUUCCAUUGCUUCUCUUGGCCCCUAACAUCUGUUCAUCUCAUUAACUCUUACUCUGUUUUUCAAUUCAAAAACAAUAAUAGCUUUAAAGAAACAUUCCUAACCUUCUCAAAUGCAUUCGUUUUUCUAAUGUAUACUUUAAUAGAACAAUGUACUUCUUCCUCUCAUCUCUCUCACAACAUAAAUUUACCCUAGUGUGAUUUGGUGAUAAAUAUCUGUCACUAUACUAGAUUGUAUAUUCAAGUCAUGUGGAGAAUGUGUCUGUUUUCGUUCAUGAUGGUGUCUACAUUAAAUAAUCCAAUGUGACAAGAAAUAUUUGUUCAAUGAAUGAGCUCCCUGAUGAAUGGAUAAAAUGAUGCUCUGAUAUGUAUGAAUGUUGAUAUUAGACACACUUAUCAAUUAUAUGUACUGUAAAUAGCAUGUAGUAGCAUUUCAAUGAGUAUUUGCUGAUUGACAGAUUUGACUAUCAAUCCCUGCUCUGAUUUCCUUUUGGGAUUUGAUUAUAUUCUUUGUACCCCUUCCAGCUUUAUUAAAGUAUAAUUGACAAAUAAGAU
rnacentral:lncRNA from 10 species